GGCAAGAUGGCGGAGUGGUUAACGCUGCACCUACUACUAGUAGUAGUUCCCUACGGGAUAUCCGUAGUUAUGCAACCUCUUUCGAGGGCCAGAGUUCGAAUCUCAGUCUUGUUG